rnacentral:rRNA from 1 species
UACGAAGGGGGCUAGCGUUGUUCGGAUUUACUGGGCGUAAAGCGCGCGCAGGCGGAUCGAUCAGUCAGGGGUGAAAUCCCAGAGCUCAACUCUGGAACUGCCUUUGAUACUGUCGAUCUGGAGUAUGGAAGAGGUGAGUGGAAUUCCGAGUGUAGAGGUGAAAUUCGUAGAUAUUCGGAGGAACACCAGUGGCGAAGGCGGCUCACUGGUCCAAUACUGACGCUGAGGUGCGAAAGCGUGGGGAGCAAACAGG